AUGCCUGGAGGUAUUCAGGGCCCCACGGUCUCCCUAUAUGCGGAUGACGCUGCCAUUUUUCUAUCCCCCACGACACAUGAUGUGGAAGGCCUUGCUAGCAUUCUACAGAGUUUUGGGGUAGUCUCUGGCCUCGUGACAAAUGUGACCAAGAGCUCCAUCGCCCCCAUCCAAUGCGCCAACAUUAACUUGGAGGAGAUUCUGGUGAACUUCCCAACGACUACAACCCCCUUCCCCAUUAAGUAUCUGGGGUUGCCCCUCUCCCUCGGAAGACUUAGGCGUGCGGACCUUCAACCCUACAUCGACAAAGCGGUGGCUCGUCUUAGCCCGUGGAAAGGAAAGUUCCUGAACCGUGCCGGGUGCACUGCUCUGGUUAAGUCCGUGCUCUCCUCCAUGCCAAUCUUCCUGCUGACGGCUUUAAAGGCUGACAAAGGCAUCCUUAAGGCCUUUGCGAAGAUCAGUCAUGGCAUGCUCUGGGCCUGUAAGGAGGCGGUUAGUGGAGGGAAAUGCAAAGUCAACUGGCAAAAGGUCUGCCGCCCCAAGGAGCUCGGUGGUUUGGGGGUUUUGGACCUGGAGAGGUUCUCCCGGGCCCUGAGGCUUCGCUAG
rnacentral:rRNA from 1 species